GACGAAGGGGGCUAGCGUUGUUCGGAAUUACUGGGCGUAAAGCGCGUGUAGGCGGUUGUCCAAGUCGGGUGUGAAAGCCUUGAGCUCAACUCAAGAAAUGCACUCGAUACUGGGCGACUAGAGUGCCGGAGAGGAUAGUGGAAUUCCCAGUGUAGUGGUGAAAUACGUAGAGAUUGGGAAGAACACCAGUGGCGAAGGCGGCUAUCUGGACGGUUACUGACGCUAAGACGCGAAAGCGUGGGUAGCAAACAGG
rnacentral:rRNA from 1 species